rnacentral:ncRNA from 3 species
UUGAGCCGUAUGCGGGGAAACUCGCACGUACGGUUCUUAGGGGGCGGUGGCGCAGUAAUGCGUCUCUGCUACCCGAC